UGAUUUGAAAUGAAAUCCGUUAUUUGCCGGUACCAACGUCAGACAGAAAACGAAUCCGUUAGCUACUGUAGCUAGCUAGUUUAUCAACCAAGCUUGCUAGUAUACAAUAUUAUUUAUUAUUGUCAUUACUUAACGUUAUUUAGCCAUUUAUUAAUUGUCCGCUAGCCAUCUGAUCGUGGCACGUCAAAUAUGUUCAAAUGUCUCCGUUUCUGAUGAGAAAAAAAAACUAUUAUCGGAGUUGGAGGAAUUUCGUAACGUACUGGAGGAUAAAAAGACAGACAACACGACUGUCAACAACAACAAAAAAGGAAGACACCUGGGUCAUGUUAUGCGACAAAUGUAAUAGAUCGACACGGAUUAAAGAGAAGAGGGACCCAAAUCGGAUGAAAGCGUGCUGGCGGGGGCUCUUACAGACGGGAGCCUGAGGGGGGGACUUCGUCCAAGGGAAUUCAUCAUAUCACUCAGAAGAUAUGCGAGAUUAUUCCCCAGCAGUUUGCCCCUCUCCGUAACCCCAAUGAUGACAACGGACAAUUUAACCCACCAAUAUUUAUGAUGCACAUCAACAAGAUCAACAACUAAUGCUAGCCAUUGGCCUGCUGGAGGUCAUUUUGCAGGGCUCUGGCAGUGCUCCUCCUUGCACAAAGGCGGAGGUAGCGGUCCUGCUGCUGGGUUGUUGUCCUCCUGCGGCCUCCUCCACGUCUCCUGAUGUACUGGCCUGUCUCCUGGUAGCGCCUCCAUGCUCUGGACACUACGCUGACAGACACAGCAAACCUUCUUGCCACAGCUCGCAUUGAUGUGCCAUCCUGGAUGAACUGCACUACCUGAGCCACUUGUGUGGGUUGUAGACUCCGUCUCAUGCUACCACUAGAGUGAAAGCACCGCCAGCAUUCAAAAGUGACCAAAACAUCAGCCAGGAAGCAUAGGACCUGAGAAGUGGUCUGUGGUCACCACCUGCAGAACCACUCCAUUAUUGGGGGUGUCUUGCUAAUUGCCUAUAAUUUCCACCUUUUGUCUAUUCCAUUUGCACAACAGCAUGUGAAAUUUAUUGUCAAUCAGUGUUGCUUCCUAAGUGGACAGUUUGAUUUCACAGAAGUGUGAUUGACUUGGAGUUACAUUGUGUUGUUUAAGUGUUCCCUUUAUUUUUUUGAGCAGUGUAUAUUGUGCAUCCCUAAUACAUACCCCAACCAGAAGCCAUGGAUUACAGGCAACAUCCGCACUGAGCUAAAGGCUAGAGCUGCCGCUUUCAAGGAGCGGGACUCUAACCCGGACGCUUAUAAGAAAUCCCGCUAUGCCCUCCGACGAACCAUCAAACAGGCAAAGCGUCAUUACAAGACUAAGAUCGAAUCGUACUACACCGGCUCCGACACCCGUCGGAUGUGGCAGGGCUUGCAAACUAUUAGACCACGAAGGGAAGCACAGCCGAGAGCUGCCCAGUGACACGAGCCUACCAGACGAGCUAAACCACUUCUAUGUUCGCUUCGAGGCAAGUAACACUGAAACAUGCAUGUGUGCUCAGUCCCCUCCUGUACUCCCUGUUCACUCAUGACUGCACGGACAGGCACAACUCUAACACCAUCAUUACGUUUGCAGACGACAACAGUGGUAGGCCUGAUCACUGACAACGACGAGACAGCCUAUAGGGAGGAGGUCAGAGACAUGGCCGUGUGGUGCAAAACAGCAACCUAUCCCUCUUCAUGAUCAAGACAAAGGAGAUGAUUGUGGACUACAGGAAAAAGAGGACCGAGCACGCCCCCAUUCUCAUCGACGGGGCUCUAGUGGAGCAGGUUGAGAGCUUCAAGUUCCUUGGUGUCCACAUCACCAACGAUCUAUCAUGGUCCAAACACACCAAGAUAGUCGUGAAGAGGGGACGACAAAGCCUAUUCCCCCUCAGGAGACUAAAAAGAUUUGACAUGGGUCCUCAGAUCCUCAAAAGGUUCUACAGCUGCAACAUCACUGCCUGGUACGGCAACUGCUCGGCCUCCGACCGCAAGGCACUACAGAGGGUAGUGUGAAUGGCCCAGUACAUCACUGGGGCCAAGCUUCCUGCCAUCCAGGACCAAGAAGCAGAGCUUCCACGUCUGUCAUGUCUUUGGAGAUAGUAGCAGAGCUUCCAUAUCUGUCAUGUCUUAUAAGAUAGAAGCAAAGCUUCCAUGCCUGUCAUGUCUUAGAAGCUAAAAGCAGAGCUUCCAUCUCUGUCAUGUCUUAGGAGCUAGAAGCAAAGCUUCCAUGUCUGUCAUGUCUUAGGAGAUAGAAGCAAAGCUUCCAUGUCUGUCAUGUCUUAGGUGAUAGAAGCAAAGCUUCCAUGUCUGUCAUGUCUUAGGAGCUAGAAGCAGAGCUUCCAUCUCUGUCGGCGCCAACUUAUUCCAUUUGUGAUGUUUGAACGUCUUACUAGAUUUCAAUAACUUUACUAUUUAUGUAUUAAAAAUGAUAUCAUUGUUGUUGAGUAAAAAACACUGUGUUUGAGUAAGAGGGAAAGAGAGAGAGAGGAAGAGAGAGAGAGAGAGAGGAAGAGAGAGAGAGAGAAAGAAAGAGAGUAAUGACACUGUAAAAUAAGUAAUUUGGCUCAACCAGUGUUUUUAAUGUUAAAAAACAACAUUCUUUUGUAUCAGAAAUGCAGAGAAGCUCAGACUAUAAGAGAAAAAUAAAUGUUUUGUUAAAUUUGA